rnacentral:rRNA from 1 species
CCCUUAGAUGUCCUGGGCCGCACGCGCGUUACACUGACGAAUGCAACGAGUUUAUAUUCCUUCUCCGAGGGGAGUGGGUAAGCUUUUAAAAGUUCGUCGUGAUGGGGAUUGAACCUUGCAAUUAUUGUUCAUGAACGAGGAAUUCCUAGUAAGCGUAGUUCAUCAAACUGCGUUGAUUACGUCCCUGCCCUUUGUACACACCGCCCGUCGCUAGUACCGAUUGAAUGAUCCGGUGAGGAUUCAGGACGGCGGAUUUUAGUUUGCCUGAAAGGGUAAGCGGAUCAUGCCGAAAUUUGUUCAAACCGUGUCAUUUAGAGGAACUAAAAGUCGUANCA